rnacentral:rRNA from 1 species
UGGGGAAUUUUGGACAAUGGGCGCAAGCCUGAUCCAGCCAUGCCGCGUGUCUGAAGAAGGCCUUCGGGUUGUAAAGGACUUUUGUCAGGGAAGAAAAGGGCGGGGUUAAUACCCCUGUCUGAUGACGGUACCUGAAGAAUAAGCACCGGCUAACUACGUGCCAGCAGCCGCGGUAAUACGUAGGGUGCGAGCGUUAAUCGGAAUUACUGGGCGUAAAGCGGGCGCAGACGGUUACUUAAGCAGGAUGUGAAAUCCCCGGGCUCAACCUGGGAACUGCGUUCUGAACUGGGUGACUAGAGUGUGUCAGAGGGAGGUAGAAUUCCACGUGUAGCAGUGAAAUGCGUAGAGAUGUGGAGGAAUACCGAUGGCGAAGGCAGCCUCCUGGGAUAACACUGACGUU